UAACUUUCAGCAAUGGAUCUCUUGGCUCUCGCAUCGAUGAAGAACGCAGCGAAUUGCGAUAUGUAAUGUGAAUYGCAGAUCKACAGUGAAUCAUCGAAUCUUUGAACGCACAUUGCGCUCCUCGGUGUUCCGAGGAGCAUGCCUGUUUGAGUGUCAGUA
rnacentral:rRNA from 1 species